rnacentral:rRNA from 1 species
AUUGAACGCUGGCGGCAGGCUUACCACAUGCAAGUCGAACGAGUGGCGGACGGGUGAGUAAUGCUUGGGAAUCUAGCUUAUGGAGGGGGAUAACUACGGGCAACUGUAGCUAAUACCGCGUACCAUAGGAUGAGCGCACGUGGGAGUAGGUAGUUGGUGAGGUAAAGGCUCACCAAGCCGACGAUCUCUAGCUGGUCUGAGAGGAUGACCGUCCAGUCUGGGACUGAGACAUGGCACAGACUCCUACGGGAGGCAGCAGUGGGGAAUAUUGCGCAAUGGGGGCAGACUGACGCAGCCAUGCCGCGUGAAUGAAGAAGGCCUUCGGGUUGUAAAGUUCUUUCUGUAGCGAGGCGUUAACUACAGAAGAAGCACCGGCUAACUCCGUGCCAGCCGCCGCGGUAAUAC